AGGUGCGAAAGCAGGUCUUAGUGAUCCGGUGGUUCUGAAUGGAAGGGCCAUCGCUCAACGGAUAAAAGGUAACUCCGGGGAGUAACAGGCUGAUACCGCCCAAGAGUUCAUAUCGACGGCGGUGUUUGGCACCUCGAUGUCGGCUCAUCACAUCCUGGGGCUGAAGUAGGUCCCAAGGGUAUGGCUGUUCGCCAUUUAAAGUGGUACGCGAGCUGGGUUUAGAACGUCGUGAGACAGUUCGGUCCCUAUCUGCCGUGGGCGCUGGAGAAUUGAGGGGGGCUGCUCCUAGUACGAGAGGGUUGGAACCGAAAGGGUUUGAAUUCAAACCUUUCGGUUCCAACAGAGUAGGGCGGGACACGUGGUAUCCUGUCUGAAUAUGGGGGGACCAUCCUCCAAGGCUAAAUACUCCUGACUGACCGAUAGUGAACCAGUACCGUGAGGGAAAGGCGAAAAGAACCCCGGCGAGGGGAGUGAAAAAGAACCUGAAACCGUGUACGUACAAGCAGGUGGGAGCACCCUUCGGGGUGUGACUGCGUACCUUUUGUAUAAUGGGUCAGCGACUUAUAUUCUGUAGCAAGGUUAACCGAAUAGGGGAGCCGAAGGGAAACCGAGUCUUAACUGGGCGUUAAGUUGCAGGGUAUAGACCCGAAACCCCGGUGAUCUAGCCAUGGGCAGGUUGAAGGUUGGGUAACACUAACUGGAGGACCGAACCGACUAAUGUUGAAAAAUUAGCGGAUGACUUGUGGCUGGGGGUGAAAGGCCAAUCAAACCGGGAGAUAGCUGGUUCUCCCCGAAAGCUAUUUAGGUAGCGCCUCGUGAAUUCAUCUUCGGGGGUAGAGCACUGUUUCGGCUAGGGGGUCAUCCCGACUUACCAACCCGAUGCAAACUGCGAAUACCGAAGAAUGUUAUCACGGGAGACACACGGCGGGUGCUAACGUCCGUCGUGAAGAGGGAAACAACCCAGACCGCCAGCUAAGGUCCCAAAGUCAUGGUUAAGUGGGAAACGAUGUGGAAGGCACAGACAGCCAGGAUGUUGGCUUAGAAGCAGCCAUCAUUUAAAGAAAGCGUAAUAGCUCACUGGUCGAGUCGGCCUGCGCGGAAGAUGUAACGGGGCUAAACCAUGCACCGAAGCUGCGGCAGCGACACUAUGUGUUGUUGGGUAGGGGAGCGUUCUGUAAGCCGUUGAAGGUGUAUCGUGAGGUAUGCUGGAGGUAUCAGAAGUGCGAAUGCUGACAUAAGUAACGAUAAUGCGGGUGAAAAACCCGCACGCCGGAAGACCAAGGGUUCCUGUCCAACGUUAAUCGGGGCAGGGUGAGUCGACCCCUAAGGCGAGGCCGAAAGGCGUAGUCGAUGGGAAACAGGUUAAUAUUCCUGUACUUGGUGUUACUGCGAAGGGGGGACGGAGAAGGCUAUGUUAGCCGGGCGACGGUUGUCCCGGUUUAAGCAUGUAGGCGGAGGUUCCAGGUAAAUCCGGUACCUUAUUAACGCUGAGGUGUGAUGACGAGGCACUACGGUGCUGAAGUAACAAAUGCCCUGCUUCCAGGAAAAAGCCUCUAAGCAUCAGGUAACACGAAAUCGUACCCCAAACCGACACAGGUGGUCAGGUAGAGAAUACCAAGGCGCUUGAGAGAACUCGGGUGAAGGAACUAGGCAAAAUGGUGCCGUAACUUCGGGAGAAGGCACGCUGAUAUGUAGGUGAAGUGAUUUGUUGGAACCGAAAGGGUUUGAAUUCAAACCCUUUCGGUUCCAACCAAGCUGAAAAUUGAAACGACACACUGUUUCAUUUCUCCGUAAUAAGAAAUGAAAAAUGGUGUGUUCGAGUCUCUCAAAUUUUUGCAAGUCGAUGAUGAAUCGAAAGAGUUGGAACCGAAAGGGUUUGAAUUCAAACCCUUUCGGUUCCAACGAGGAAGGUGUUGUGGUUAAUAACCACAGCAAUUGACGUUACUCGCAGAAGAAGCACCGGCUAACUCCGUGCCAGCAGCCGCGGUAAUACGGAGGGUGCAAGCGUUAAUCGGAAUUACUGGGCGUAAAGCGCACGCAGGCGGUCUGUCAAGUCG
rnacentral:rRNA from 1 species